CCAUCUGUAAAUUGCAACAAAAUAAUGCAAUGAUAGAGACAUCAAAAUAAUACAAUUAAAUCUAAUCUUUACACACAAAAAAUUUCUCAAAAUCAUCCAACACUCAUCUAGCACAUGUAAACAAUAACAAAAUAAUACGAUAAUAGAGAUAUCAAAAUAAUACAACUAAAUCUAACCUUUACAAAAAAAAAUUCCUCAAAGCUGAUCAACAUUUAUCUAUCAUCUGUAAACUGCAACAAAAUAAUAUGAUAAAAGUGAUAUCAAAACAAUACAAUUAAAUUUAAAUUUUACACAAACAUUUCUCAAAGCCGAUCGAGAUUCAUCUACGAACUGUAAACUACCACAAAAUAAUAAAUUAAUAGAGACUUACAAUAAUACAAUUUAACCUAACCUUUACCUAAAUUUUUUUUUAAAGCCGACCUACAUUCAUCUAGCAUCUGUAAAUUAAAAUAAAAUAAUAAGAUAAUAAAGCUAUCAGAAUAAUACAAUUAAAUAUAACCUUUACACAAAAAAUUCUUCAAAGUCAACCGACAUUCAUAUAUGACCUGUAAAUUAUGAAAAAAUAUAAUAGUAAUCACAAAGCUUCAAUUUUGAUCCAACUAAUUCUUGAGCAAAAAUUUUGACCAUAAAGAAUGAUUUUGAAUGAAAUCAAAGAAGAUAUAUAUAUACACACACAUGUUGAAUUCUAUUAUGCUGACAAAAACAGUGAAGAAAUUGAGGGUUAGAAAAUCAAGCAUCCACCUAUCUAGAUAUGUCAUCGAAUCAAGCUAGAUGAGCAUCAAUCAUAUUCUCCCAAUAGGCAAAUCGGUUUGUUCUGUAGUUUAACGUACAUCUCAAUAUUUAUAGAAGUAUUUCCUUAAGAGUCUUAUUUUAGGAGUAUUUUUCAAAUGGAACAGUAGAAAGAAAAAUAUUAAUUAAUUCUUCUACCAUAUAUUUUAGGAAGUCUAAUAGAAAGAAAAAUAUUAUUUAAUUCUCCUACCAUAUAUUUUAGGAGUCCCAUAUUUAUGGAAGUCUAGUUAAUAUAAUAAAAAAUAGUUAAAUAAUAAAUUAAAAAAUAGUGAAAAGAUGAUUUUGUUUAAAAGAGUUUUUUAAUAAAGGAUAAAAAGUUCAAAUCACUUUUUUAAGGGUCUUCACACUUUUAAUAUAGUAAGUAUGAUUAUGAUUAUGAUUGAUUAUGAUUAUGAUUAUGAUUAUGAUUAUGAUAAUGAUAAUGAUUAUGAUAAUGAUUAUGAUUAUGAUUAUGAUUGAUUAUGAUUAUGAUUAUGAUGACUUAUAUCAUUUGAUAACUUAUUGGGAACACACCAAUGGUUUACCUUAGCACCAUCUUCAAGGGUUGUGUUGCAAAUACUGCUACUAAACUUGAUAUUAUGGAGUCAUGUUGCAGUGUUAAGGAUAGGUGGGACAGUUUUUGUUUGUAUUGUAAUAUCUGAAUUUUCUUCAACCAAGAAUUUUAAACUGAAAAUUUCGCUUAAUUGGUUAUUAUUUUUCUUUUAGUAAAUAAACCUACUUCUAUAUAUUUUUCUAUCAGCUUAUGGACAUUAUAUCUUACAUCUGCACUAGCGGGAACAUGUUGAUAUUAUACUUGUGCUGGUAGUUCAUAUAUUUCUCUCUUGUUAAUUAGAGCUCUAGAAAAACAUAACACCAAUAACCAUCAUACUCAUACUGGAUCUACUGUAGAAUUUGAUAUCAAUUGUUGCGAUACAUCUCUAUAAUUGAAAAUAAUUAGAUUGAGACAGUUAUUUUAUUCAUUGAUAUUUCUGUUGCAUCUCAGGAUAGGGUUCAGUCUGAUAUCUGAUGCUGAGGAAAUCAAAACUUUAAUUUUGGCAAGCAAUUAUGUCAUAGUUACCCUCUCAGUAACAGAGAAGAUGAGAUGGUUUCAAACAGAGGGUUGUCAAAAAAUACUAUGUGUAUAGUCAAAAGCCCGGAGUCAAGACAUAUGUAAGGCAAGGUAUAUUUAAAUGACUAAAAUGCCCUUAUUUUUUAUUCUAAUGGCACAAAAAUAGACAUGUUGAAACACUUACUUCUCUAUAAUAAAAACUAGAAGGGUAUGGUCUGUGUGAGCACGGGCCUAACAUGAAUAUUUUUAGUAUUUUAAAAUUAAGUAAACUCUUGACACGACAUACAAAAAAUUAUGUUCACAAUAAAGAAAGUUGUCUUGAUGAAGCUACUUCGAACUAAAGGUGUAAGAAGUCGAGCUACUACUUUCAACUUAGACGUCCUGUCUUUGUGUUCCACAAAACAUAGUUUUAUCAGAUCUAAGUAGUUUAUCAUGAUACAUACUACACCUGAGCUUUUGAGAAGCCGAUGUUAUCUCUCAAGUGAGAUAAAGAAAUUAACCUCCUCUACAAGCAAGCUAAACACCUAUGAAUUUCAGUGAAAAACAAUGGAAAUAACGGAAGGUUCAAGCUUUCCACUAAUUCAACUCAGUAAAUUCGUUGCAUAACAAAACAAAAAAAGGUUCAAUCUUUCAAGAAACUCAUACAGAAUUCACGAAUAUUGUAAAGUAAAAGCAAAAAGGAUCCAAAAUGCAAUGAAUUGCUUCCUCCUAUGUUAAAAUUAGUAUCCCGGAAGAUCAAAAUUCGUAAACCAAUUCAUUCCCAAAGAAGAUAAAGCAAUUCACUUCCUUUUCAAGUUCAACACCUAGGAAUAUGAGAAAAACAACAACAAAAGAUUCAAGCCUACCACAAAGUCAACUCAGUAAACUCAUCAAAUGACGAAACAAAAAAAGGUUCAAUCUUUCAAGAAACUCAUUUCGAAUUCACCAAUCACUAUAAAGUAAACAAGAAAAAUGUAUCCAAAAUGCAAUGAAUUGCUUCUUCCUUUGUUAAAAUCAGUAUCUCCCGUAUAACUAUGUUUUUGUGUUUUAUUUUUUGUGCAUAUAGAACUUGUAAAACAGACAGAAUGUAAUCCAGAUUUCAUGAGUUCUAUGUAUACACUUUUAUUUUUUGCACAGAAAAAUCAGCAUUCAGUAAGUUCAGAUCACUGAAUAAUACUUAUUACCUUCUGAAAAAGUUACAGAAAAAGAAAUCUAACUUACUUGUGGAUUUCAAUAGCUUUGGCUGCGUAAUCUGCAAACUAAACCUAGAAAUAAGCUUUGCAAGUGUCAGAAGUACUUGAAAAAUAAUUAGCUUUGUAGGAAAGAUGGUCAUAAGCAUUAAAAGAGAAAUCUUCCAAGUUUGAGAAUCAUCUAUACCUAUUAUUUUGCAACCAAAAAAAAAGAUAAACAAACUCCUUAAUUUCUAUUUACCCUAUAUUUUUACAUUUUGGGGGGCUUUAAAAACAGAACUUAUCUAGGUUGAGGUACACACCAAAGAAAGUAGGGUAUCGAAGUUGUUAUUUCUCUCAAAAAGAAAAUCCCAGCUACAAAGACUGAAAAAAUGAGAGAGAUGUAAAUAAUGAAGUGAGAAUUAGAAAUGUAGGUUGAUAAUUCUACCAUAACCAUGUAUCCAGCUUUGAUAGUGGAAGUGAUUUUUGUGGAAGAGGCUUUUGUGGAAGAGGCUUUUGGAAGUAUCCCCUG
rnacentral:lncRNA from 1 species